GACGAACGCUGGCGGCAGGCCUAACACAUGCAAGUCGAGCGAGCGUCGGACGGGUGAGUAAUGUAUGGGGACUCCCCGAUAGAGGGGGAUAACUACUGUAAACGGUGGCUAAUACCGCAUACUCUCUGAUAACCCUUAUGGGAUUAGCUAGUAGGUAAGGUAAUGGCGUACCUAGGCGACGAACCCUAGCUGGCCUGAGAGGAUGAUCAGACACACGUGCACUGAGACACGGCCAAGAGUCCGAGGGAGGACGCGGUGGGGAAUAUUGCACAAGGGGCGCAAGCCUGAUGCAGCCAUGCCGCGUGUAUGAAGAGGGCCCUGGGGUUGUAAAGUACGUUCAGUCGGGAGACGUUACCGGCAGAGGAAGUAUCGGCUAACUCCGUGCCAGCAGCCGCGGUAUUAC
rnacentral:rRNA from 1 species